GGAAAACACAGGAUCUUCUCACCUACACAUGCCUAUGCACAUCACUUUUUUUUUCUUCUGUUUUUGGUGGUUAAGCAAGUAAAUCAUAUUUGUUCACUGGGUGAUCAGCUUAUCCAAUUUACAUGCGUGCUGUGUGGUAAAAAAAUGUUGAUUGGCAUCUUGCUGUUGGGGCAGUUGUCAUUGCUUCAACAGUAUCCAUUAGCAAGGAAAAUAUUUGCAUUUUGAUAUGAUCCUGUUUUCUGAAGGAUUGUGAGCUUUCUUUGGCAAGCAUAUAUGCUAUCAAUUAUGAUCUAUGGAUUUAAAUUUCAUUCUUUGUAGAUAUGGAAACCAAAGAAGCUGAAGUAGGAGCAUUUCUCGCAGUCCGGGCAGUUAUUGUGGCCGUUAUAGUGAUCAAGGCAGGAGCCGAAUCCAAUUUGCAGUCCUAGUCCCAAGGAUAAGUGACCGGCCAUAACUGGGGGUCUGAAGUCUCAUCUAGGUGCUCGAAUUGAUGAUCAGCGCUCUUUGGACAAAGAAAGAUUAUGGUCAAGGUCCAGUUCCAGGUCUAGGACCCAUGGAUCCUCUCUUUCUAGAUCUUCUGUACCACCAAAACAUCUCAGCAAAGAUUGCCAGCAGGUCUAGAUCGAGCUCACCCUCUGGACAGCAGGGUCUGAUUUCAUAUCAGGACGCCAGUCCUGAUUCUGGAACGAAGUAGCUUGCAGUCCUUUUGGUGGUGUAAAGUACAUAAACCUCCACCAUAUUCAUAUGAAAUUGGCCGGUAUUAUGAGUGAGCUUAUCCAUCUGAAUUGAUUUUGAAUUAAAUUGCAGUGUAAGUUGAAUAGCGUGGGCUCUUGUAUCAAUUUUCAUCAUACGUUUAUUGAUUCUUGCAUGUGACUGGAGAACCUGGCUGAUAAAUGAAACUGAAGUGGUAGUAUGUUUCUUCCGAGUUCAAGCAUAUUUGCUGACCUAGCAGGCAACGUAAGUUGAUGGGGUUUCUCCCUCUCUUGGGGCUCCUAUUCUGUUCUCUUAUUCUGUUCGAGGUCCGAUCUGGAAAUUCUUGGAGGCAUGCCUUCUGAGUUCCAACUAGAGUUCUCCAGAGGUUUGGGGCCCGUUGCAGUGUUGGAAUUCUACCUUUAACUGGCGUAAAUUUUCUGUAAUAUAUGGUGGGAUUGUUGAAUAGUUGUAUCAUGUGAAGAUGUGGUACCUGGACACCAUUGGGUCAUUUUGGACCCCCAUAUGAAACUGGGUCUACAAUUUUACCAGGUGGCAUCAAAUUCUGGGUCUACUGCUUGUAAUGUUCCAAUGACGACUUUCAGCUUCUAUUAUUAUUUCAAACGAAGAAAUUUUAGAAAAAGUUUUAGAAGUGUUCAAUGAUACACUCAUCUCACCUAGUCUUGCAUACUCGUUCUAAUGACCACACAGGUGGAAACUUUAAAAAAAUAAAAAAUAAAUAAAUAAAUAAAUA
rnacentral:misc_RNA from 1 species